AGAACGAACGCUGGCGGCGUGCUUAACACAUGCAAGUCGUACGAGAAACCGGAACUUCGGUUCCGGGAGUAAAGUGGCGCACGGGUGAGUAACGCGUAGGUAAUCUACCCUUGGGUUUGGAAUAACCCGCCGAAAGGCGUGCUAAUACCGGAUAAAAUCUUUCGGAGGGAUCUGAAAGAUCAAAGGUGGCCUCUCCAUGGAUGCUACCGCCUGAGGAUGAGCCUGCGUCCCAUUAGCUUGUUGGUAGGGUAAUGGCCUACCAAGGCUACGAUGGGUAGCUGGUCUGAGAGGAUGAUCAGUCACACUGGAACUGGAACACGGUCCAGACUCCUACGGGAGGCAGCAGUGAGGAAUAUUGCGCAAUGGGGGAAACCCUGACGCAGCGACGCCGCGUGGGCGAAGAAGGCCUUUGGGUCGUAAAGCCCUGUCUAGAGGGAAGAAAUUCUCAAUGGAAUAAUACCCAUUGAGAUUGACGGUACCUCUGGAGGAAGCACCGGCUAACUCCGUGCCAGCAGCCGCGGUAAUACGGAGGGUGCGAGCGUUGUUCGGAAUUACUGGGCGUAAAGCGGGUGUAGGCGGUUUGUUAAGUCAGAUGUGAAAGCCCACGGCUCAACCGUGGAAGUGCAUCUGAAACUGGCAGACUUGAGUACCGGAGAGGGAAGUGGAAUUCCUGGCGUAGGGGUGAAAUCCGUAGAUAUCAGGAGGAACACCGGUGGCGAAGGCGACUUCCUGGACGGAUGCUGACGCUGA
rnacentral:rRNA from 1 species